rnacentral:rRNA from 1 species
AUUGAACGCUGGCGGCAGGCCUAACACAUGCAAGUCGAGCGAGCGGCGGACGGGUGAGUAAUGUAUGGGGACUGCCCGAUAGAGGGGGAUAACUACUGGAAACGGUGGCUAAUACCGCAUACUAUCGGAUAACCCAUAUGGGAUUAGCUAGUAGGUGGGGUAAAGGCUCACCUAGGCGACGAUCUCUAGCUGGUCUGAGAGGAUGAACAACCACACCGGGACUGUAACACGGCCCAGACUCGUACGGAGGCAUCAGUAGGGAAGAUUGGACAAUUGGCGCGAGCCUGAUGCAGCCAUGCGGCGUGUAUGAAGAAGGCCUUGGGGUUGUAAAGUACUUUCAGCGGGGAGGCGUUACCCGCAAAAGAAGCACCGGCUAACUCCGUGCCAGCAGCCGCGGUAAUAC